UACGUAGGGUGCGAGCGUUAAUCGGAAUUACUGGGCGUAAAGCGUGCGCAGGCGGUUCGUUGUGUCGGCGGUGAAAGCCCCGGGCUCAACCUGGGAAUGGCCGUUGAAACUGGCGAACUGGAGUGUGGCAGGGGGGGGUGGAAUUCCGCGUGUAGCAGUGAAAAGCGUAGAGAUGCGGAGGAACACCGAUGGCGAAGGCAGCCCCCUGGGCUGACACUGACGCUCAGGCACGAAAGCGUGGGGAGCAAACAGG
rnacentral:rRNA from 1 species